UACGGAGGAUGCGAGCGUUAAUCGGAAUUACUGGGCGUAAAGCGCGCGUAGGCUGUUGUGUAAGUUGGGGGUGAAAUCCCACGGCUCAACCGUGGAACAGCCCUUGAUACUGCGCGACUUGAAUCCGGGAGAGGGUGGCGGAAUUCCAGGUGUAGGAGUGAAAUCCGUAGAUAUCUGGAGGAACAUCAGUGGCGAAGGCGGCCACCUGGACCGGUAUUGACGCUGAGGCGCGAAAGCGUGGGGAGCAAACAGG
rnacentral:rRNA from 1 species